AUUCAUGUUACAAGUUAACUUUAUUAGGUUAAACUUUAAAGAUCUUACAAAAUAAUAUAUUCGCGAGUCGUAGACAUAGUUAACUACUUUUAUUUUACUUUCAUGGCUUAGUUUCGCAUUUACCCAAAGUAGUAGGUAACUUUUUUGGCACAAUAUUCAAAUGACGACUAUUACCACCUUAGUCGUCCGUGACUAGGAAAACUGUAGAGUAUUUCGAAACGUUCGUAACAAAUAGUAAAGUAAUUUCAAUAAAAUCUACCAAUUUUGAUUUCAUUGAGAACAUUACAAGUUUAUAUAUUACUACCUAUUGCUGUAUUGUUUGUUUAAAAAAGUUGUUAGAUCUGUAAACUAAUAGUGCAGAAGAUAGAAGCACCUUACCAAUCACUGCAUCGAUUGAAUAAAUGAUAAGGGUUUUGCGCAUUUACGUUGUAGAUGUCUAUGGGCUCCAGUAACCACUUAACACCAGGUGGGCUGUGAGCUCGUCCACCCAUCUUAGCAAUAAAAAAAAAAGAAAAAAAAAAUUCACUACGUAGAUAUAAUUCUAAAAUUGUAAUUCGUGAUCCUAGCCUGACCUAACCUAACCGAUCUGGAUUUUAAUGGAUCUUUCCAUCGAUAUCUGUUACGUUGGCAUGAAGGAGAGCUACGCUGAGAGGUAUUUUCAGGUGUUUGUUCCUGCUCUUUUCAUCGUUUAGAACGGUCCGUUCUCUUGGAAUCUUACUCUCUUGAUUUUGCCAGUGCAAGCAAUAUGGCGGAAAUACUGCUGAAUUCGCUCGCUUUUUCCCUCGGCUCGGCACAAGGCAAUUAAUGAAGGCCAUUCAUUAGUACUUUCGGAACAUCGGCCAUAUAACACGGAAAGUCAGAGCGAGGCUGUACUGAAAACUGGAUUAAUGAACAAGUUGUUCUCGUGUGCGAAGGAAAACAUAAAAAAAACACGAAAAUGAGUUUAUUAGCUUUUCAGCGUAGUAACACGAUGACAUGAAGAUUUUGCC